UUUUAAUCAGUGACUGUAAACAUGACCAUGACGGUUGUGUCAUUUGUAGCAUGAAUCCUCGUGGGUGUAUGAUUGUCAAGAGAGAUAUCCAGAAGUUGAUGGAUAAGAAUGUAAUCCAGAUUCAAUAGUCGAGGGAUAUGGGAGAUGAUGUGAAUGUCAUUGUACCGAAGUUCAAGACCCUUGAGUGGGUAGUCAUUCAGUUUGAUAGUAGUAGCAACAACAGUGUCAAUAGAUCGGUACCAAUGUUG
rnacentral:lncRNA from 1 species